UACGAAGGGUGCAAGCGUUACUCGGAAUUACUGGGCGUAAAGCGCGCGUAGGUGGUUUGUUAAGUCUGUUGUGAAAGCCCCGGGCUCAACCUGGGAAUGGCAAUGGAUACUGGCAGGCUGGAGUGCGGUAGAGGGUAGUGGAAUUCCCGGUGUAGCGGUGAAAUGCGUAGAGAUCGGGAGGAACACCAGUGGCGAAGGCGGCUACCUGGACCAGCACUGACACUGAGGCACGAAAGCGUGGGGAGCAAACAGG
rnacentral:rRNA from 1 species